CUGUGAUGUCAUGACUGAGCAUAGGUUACGGGGAUAUGGUGUCUUUGUCACAGUCCAUAUCUAUCCAUACUCUCUCUCUUCGUGUUCUGAUUAGUCUAGUUCUGGCUGGUUGUGCUUUCAUUCUUGCUAAUGAGUUCAUCCAUCCUGUUGAUGCUGAUUCCAUCACAAUCACCUUCUUCAGGCCUUCAAUUUGAACUAAAGAUCUUGUUGAUUCAGUUGUUAAUACUAGAACUAGCAUCUUUGGGCUUGCCAUGUGGACUGAAGACUAGGGUCUCUCCAGGAAUCCUCCAGGCCUCCAGUGCUAGACUGGGACUGCUGAGGUAUGUGGUCUUGUAGUCCAAGCAACCACUGGAUUCUUAGCAUCCACAAUGUGAGAUGGCCACUGUUGAACUACUCUGACAGAAUGGAAAUAAAGUUACAACUUGUAUUAACAUUCAAUAAAUGUGAGAUAGCACAUUUGUAA